UACGGGGGGGGCGAGCGUUAUUCGGAAUUAUUGGGCGUAAAGGGCGCGUAGGCGGCCUAGUAAGUCAAAGGUGAAAUCCCUCAGCUCAACUGAGGAACUGCCUUUGAUACUGCGAGGCUUGAGGCCGGGAGGGGGUAGUGGAAUUCCCAGUGUAGCGGUGAAAUGCGUAGAUAUUGGGAGGAACACCAGUGGCGAAGGCGGCUACCUGGACCGGUGCUGACGCUGAUGCGCGAAAGCGUGGGGAGCAAACAGG
rnacentral:rRNA from 1 species